CUCGAUAGUUAUUUUUUAUGAACUAUACCGGUUUUCAAGACCGGAGCCAUAAACCACUCGGCCAUCUCUCC
rnacentral:tRNA from 1 species